rnacentral:rRNA from 1 species
AUUGAACGCUGGCGGCAGGCCUAACACAUGCAAGUCGAGCGAGCGGCGGACGGGUGAGUAAUGUAUGGGGAUCUGCCCGAUAGAGGGGGAUAACUAUUGGAAACGGUAGCUAUUAUCGCACAUCCUCGCAUGUGUCCCGAUGGGAUGAGCUAGUAGGUGGGGUAAAGGCUCACCUAGGCGACGAUCCCUAGCUGGUCUGAGAGGAUGACCAGCCACACUGGAACUGAGACACGGUCCAGACUCCUACGGGAGGCAGCAGUGGGGAAUAUUGCACAAUGGGCGCAAGCCUGAUGCAGCCAUGCCGCGUGUAUGAAGAAGGCCUUCGGGUUGUAAAGUACUUUCAGCGGGGAGGCGUUACCCGCAGAAGAAGCACCGGCUAACUCCGUGCCAGCAGCCGCGGUAAUUC